rnacentral:rRNA from 1 species
CCUACGGGUGGCUGCAGUGGGGAAUAUUGCACAAUGGGCGAAAGCCUGAUGCAGCAACGCCGCGUGAAGGAAGAAGGGUUUCGGCUCGUAAACUUCUAUCAACAGGGACGAAAGAACUGACGGUACCUGAAUAAGAAGCCCCGGCUAACUACGUGCAAGCCGCCGCGGUAAUACGUAGGGGGAAAGCGUGAUCCGGAAUUACUGGGUGGAAAGGGUGAGUAGGCGGCAUGGUAAGCCAGAUGUGAAAGCCUUGGGCUUAACCCGAGGAUUGCAUUUGAAACUAUCAAGCUAGAGUGCAGGAGAGGAUAGUGGAAUUCCUAGUGUAGCGGUGAAAUGCGUAGAUAUUAGGAAGAACACCAGUGGCGAAGGCGACUUUCUGGACUGAAACUGACGCUGAGGCACGAAAGCGUGGGGAGCGAACAGGAUUAGAUACCCUAGUAGUC